UUUGAAAUUUUUGUUCGUGAACUUCCAAAGGCGAUUCGAUACUGCAUAUACCUAUGUGAUGUCACAACUGACAACUCAAAUUUGCACCUCAAAAAUCAACAAAAACUCUCAUCUCAAGUUUUACAGAAUUGAGACGAAAUAUAAAUCGCCCUAUUUUUUGGCACAAAUGCUGUACUACUGGAACACGCCCUUAAUCGAAAUACUAGUUGAAUGUCACCAAUGGAUUGUUCAAAAUGCACUCUAAUCUGUGACACUUUGAAGCAUUUUGGAGAAUAGUGCAGGAAGCGCAAACGUGAGAAAACUCCCUCGUUCAUAGAAAUCACUACGUAUCCCUAGCCCCUGUUGUCAAAUGCAUACACUGAAGCAGUUUGCUCGCAAUUAUAUGGUAGGUAUGUAUCUAAAACUGGAAUUCAAAUUGCUUAAAAUCGGCUGUCCAAAAUUGAAAUUCUUUGGAGACAAUGGUGCACUGUGUAUAUUGAUCGACUUAUAGCUUACAACGAUUGUACCGUUACUCAAACAAUAAUAAAUGAAUAAAUUUUCACUUUUUCAGAAAUCAUGUUAGUUAUAGUUUUACGAUGAACAUACGUCUAUACUUUUUUUACAAUAACUUUAGUAAAUAUAUACAAGACAAAACUGUAAUGUUACCAGGGUACCUAAUGUGAAAUAAACUGUAAUUUUGUUGCAAAAAAGUAACCAUAACAUGACAUGUAUUGCUAUAAUCAAACGAUGGACGCAAUGGUGCUGUUUCAAAAUAUUCUUGUACUAACAUAAUUUCGAUAUCCGAUGCCAAUAAUUUACAUGAAAGGGUGUGUUGGUUCAUCCAAUUAAAAAUUUCUAAUGACAUACAUAUGCUAAUUGGAUGAUAUUUGACUUUACCGUUAAUCUAUCAACCAUUUCAUUUCAUAACCGUCACAGAAAAAAAUCAAUUAAACUU